rnacentral:rRNA from 1 species
UACGGGAGGAGCAAGCGUUGUUCGGAUUUACUGGGCGUAAAGGGCGCGUAGGCGGUCAGCACAAGUCAGUUGUGAAAUCUCCGGGCUUAACUCGGAAAGGUCAACUGAUACUGUGCGACUAGAGUGCAGAAGGGGCAACUGGAAUUCUCGGUGUAGCGGUGAAAUGCGUAGAUAUCGAGAGGAACACCUGCGGCGAAGGCGGCGAUCUGGACGAUGACUGACGCUGAGACGCGAAAGCGUGGGGAGCAAACAGG